GGGAAUAUUGCACAAUGGGCGAAAGCCUGAUGCAGCAACGCCGCGUGAGUGAUGAAGGCCUUCGGGUUGUAAAGCUCUGUCUUCUGGGACGAUAAUGACGGUACCAGAGGAGGAAGCCACGGCUAACUACGUGCCAGCAGCCGCGGUAAUACGUAGGUGGCAAGCGUUGUCCGGAUUUACUGGGCGUAAAGGAUGCGUAGGCGGAUACUUAAGUCAGAUGUGAAAAUCCCGGGCUUAACUUGGGAACUGCAUUUGAAACUGGGUAUCUAGAGUGCGGGGGAGGAAAGUGGAAUUCCUAGUGUAGCGGUGAAAUGCGUAGAGAUUAGGAAGAACACCAGUGGCGAAGGCGACUUUCUGGACCGUAACUGACGCUGAGGCAUGAAAGCGUGGGGAGCAAACA
rnacentral:rRNA from 1 species